AGCAGCAAUGCCCUCUGGAUCCCUUGCCACAACAAGGAAGGUAUCAACUUGGCCUCCUUUCUCUCAGAGAAUAAAGCAAACAGUUUCUAAUUCUUCACUUUUAUGGUUAUGCUUCACUUUUACUCCGCUAAUUUGAUGCGUGACGCCUCGCUCAACGACCGAGUGGAGCUCCGAAUUUUGGGUGACGUUGGUGCCAAGAUCCUAGUCAUAAACUUUGAUACCCCUGGUGUUCAGGUGCCUAAUUUCUUUAGGGAGAGACGGAGAGAGAAUGAGAGUGGCGGAGGCCGGAGAGACGGUGCUUGUUGGUCUUCCACCUUUUAAUGCAGAGCAUCCUCAGACUAUAUUUGAUAAUAUUCUUAAUCGUAAGAUACCUUGGCCUGCAGUUCCUGAAGAAAUGAGUCCUGAAGCUCAAGAUCUUAUUGAUCGAUUAUUGACUGAAGAUCCUAACCAAAGACUUGGAGCUAGAGGUGCAUCAGAGGUGAAAGAACAUGUUUUCUUUAAGGAUAUAAAUUGGGACACACUUGCUAGAUAGAAGGAUAACAAUGAAGAUUAAGCUGACUAUUAUUGUGGUUUAUUGGCUAAGAUAGAGUGCUAUUUAGAAUCUUUACAUGUAUGGUUGACUAAUGAUUUUUAUUAGAAGAUACUUUUAUUGGCUAAGUGAUAUUAUGGUUUUGAUAUGGCUAUGCUUACUUUAGUUUGAGAUGUAUAAAUACUUCAUUCUUGUACUUUUGGA